rnacentral:rRNA from 1 species
GACGAACGCUGGCGGCGUGCUUAACACAUGCAAGUCGAACGGAAAGGCCCUGCUUUUGUGGGGUGCUCGAGUGGCGAACGGGUGAGUAACACGUGAGUAACCUGCCCUUGACUUUGGGAUAACUUCAGGAAACUGGGGCUAAUACCGGAUAGGAGCUCCUGCUGCAUGGUGGGGGUUGGAAAGUUUCGGCGGUUGGGGAUGGUCUCGCGGCUUAUCGGCUUGUUGGUGGGGUAGUGGCUUACCAAGUCUUUGACGGGUAGCCGGCCUGAGAGGGUGACCGGCCACAUUGGGACUGAGAGACGGCCCAGACUCGUACGGGAGGCAACAGGGGGGAAUAUGACAGAAUGGGGGGAAGCCUGAUACAGCAGCCCCCGGUGCGGGAUGCCGGCUUUCGGGUUGAAAACCGCUGUCGCCUGUAACAAGCCGGGAGUGACGGUAAUGGAUAAAGAAGCACCGGCUAACUACGUG